AGGACGAACGCUGGCGGCGUGCUUAACACAUGCAAGUCGAACGGAAAGGCCCUGCUUUUGUGGGGUGCUCGAGUGGCGAACGGGUGAGUAACACGUGAGUAACCUGCCCUUGACUUUGGGAUAACUUCAGGAAACUGGGGCUAAUACCGGAUAGGAGCUCCUGCUGCAUGGUGGGGGUUGGAAAGUUUCGGCGGUUGGGGAUGGACUCGCGGCUUAUCAGCUUGUUGGUGGGGUAGUGGCUUACCAAGGCUUUGACGGGUAGCCGGCCUGAGAGGGUGACCGGCCACAUUGGGACUGAGAUACGGCCCAGACUCCUACGGGAGGCAGCAGUGGGAAUAUGCACAAUGGCGGAAGCCUGAUGCAGCAACGCCGCGUGCGGAUGACGGCCUUGGGUGUAACCGCUUUCGCUGUGACGAAGCGUGGUGACGGUAAGUGGGUAAAGAAGCGACCGGACUAACGUACGUGCCAGCAGCGC
rnacentral:rRNA from 1 species